rnacentral:misc_RNA from 1 species
UACGAGAACCCCAAGCGUUAUCCGGAAUCAUUGGGCGUAAAGGGUGUGUAGGCGGACUAGUUAGUCUUCUGUUAAAUCCUCGGGCUUAACUCGAGAAUCGCGGGGGAAACGGCUAGACUAGAGGGUGCGAGAGGUGAAUGGAACUCAUGGAGUAGGGGUGAAAUCCGUUGAUAUCAUGGGGAACACCGAAAGCGAAGGCAAUUCACUGGCGCAUUUCUGACGCUGAAACACGAAAGCGUGGGUAGCGAACGGG